rnacentral:lncRNA from 1 species
AUCAGGGAGUGAAUAGGAAGGACUUGAGAAGACCAGAGAGCAAACCCUGUAAGGGGGAGUGUAAAUUGGUAGGAGGAGUUCUAGUUGUGUAGAUUUAAGACUUUAUUUAUUAUUUCUCUACCCUAAUAAACUUUUUUUUUUUAAUAAUUGCAAGGUCAUGCUUUGCUGUCCCUGAAGAGGUCCCUAGGUGAAACAUAUUGCCUUCAAGAAAAUGUCUCAACUCGAGUAGAUGAAAAAUGGUUUAGCCUGAACAUUUAGAAGAGUGAAAAUACAUCAAAGGCCUAAGGAAAUGUCAUUGAAGGAAAUAACAGUAACUGCCUGCAGAACAUAACAGGUUUCAUUUUGAAAUAGAUUUUCAGGUAAGGUUUUUCUUGCCAUUUUUCAGAGAUACUUGAAGCAACUAUAAAAAUGGAAUUAGCUGGCUAACACACAGUUAUAUCAUUGUUUGUUUCCGUAUAACAUCAGGAACAUUUAACUGUCUU